rnacentral:rRNA from 1 species
UACGUAGGGCGCAAGCGUUGUCCGGAAUUAUUGGGCGUAAAGAGCUCGUAGGCGGCUUGUCACGUCGGGUGUGAAAGCCCGGGGCUUAACCCCGGGUCUGCAUUCGAUACGGGCUAGCUAGAGUGUGGUAGGGGAGAUCGGAAUUCCUGGUGUAGCGGUGAAAUGCGCAGAUAUCAGGAGGAACACCGAUGGCGAAGGCGGGUCACUGGGCCGCAACUGACGCUGAGGAGCGAAAGCAUGGGGAGCGAACAGG